UGUGUGUGCGCGCGGUCUCUGCCAGUGGAGCCCACGCGUCAUACUCUGCCUCGCCGUCACAACCGCCGCACGCAACGGAUUCCGUGGAAAUCGGGCGCCGUGCUGACCGUCCGCAGCUUGGGGGAGCCCAGUACUCCUCUUUCUCAUCGACCAAGUCCCCGCCGCCACCCUCAUGAGGGAAGAGAAGUGGCCGCCACCUGCCAUUUUCGCCCUGCCAUCAGUUCGACCUCGGGGAAGGCGCUCAGGGCGUCGAUGAUAGACCGUGGGAGCACAUCCGAGACUCACCUGCGCUCGGGGAAAUCGUGCAUUGUCGGAAUUUCUCAUCGGUGCGGGCCUCUGCUCCGACAUCCGCCCCACACCAUGGGCGAGGGAACCGCAUCGUCGGCACCGGAGAAGAACAGGUGCUCUAGGAGGAGCCUUACAACGAAGAGUAUGAGCUCAUCUAGGUGGUGUCUCCCAGUCAGCUUUAUGACGCCAAGGAUUUAUGUUUAGUUCGCUUUAUUGUUCUCAUUUAUUUUUGUAAGACUCCCGCUAUGUAAUAAUGAUAUUUGUGAUAUUUAUUGUUCUCAUUAUAUGUGAUG